AGGCAAGAUGAACAAAGAAAGUUUAGUCUUUUAACAUUAUAUUGCUUUCCUCUGUGCUUUCUUUUCCUUAAAAUUCUCUUUAAUAACUUGUCUGUUCAACAAUUGCACUGUUGACACUUUUUACUCUUUAUUUACCAAAUUCUAUCAUGGGUUCUUGCUUACCUAAGUUGGUUUUGAAUGCUCAACCUCUGGAACAGUCCAUUUGCAGAAAUUAUAUCGAAAGAUCACAAGAUCAAUUUGACAACUUGGAAAAACACACCCAAUGGGGAAUUGAUAUUUUAGAGAAAUAUAUCAAAUUUGUCAAGGAACGGACAGAGAUUGAAAUCAGCUAUGCAAAGCAACUUAGGAAUCUUUCAAAGAAAUAUCAACCCAAACGGAAUUCAAAGGAAGAAGAAGAAUACAAGUAUACAUCAUGUAAAGCUUUUCUUUCCACUUUGAAUGAAAUGAAUGAUUAUGCAGGGCAACAUGAAGUUAUUUCAGAGAACAUGACUUCACAGAUUACUGUAGAGUUAACUCGAUAUGUACAGGAACUAAAGCAGGAAAGGAAAUCGCAUUUCCAUGAUGGUCGGAAGGCACAACAACACAUUGAAACUUGCUGGAAACAACUUGAAUCAAGUAAAAGACGAUUUGAGCGAGAUUGCAAAGAAGCUGACAGAGCUCAGCAGUAUUUUGAAAAAAUGGAUGCUGACAUUAAUGUUACAAAAGCAGAUGUUGAAAAGGCACGGCAACAAGCUCAAUUACGGCAUCAAAUGGCAGAGGAUAGCAAGGCAGAUUACUCAACAACUCUUCAAAAGUUCAACCAUGAACAGCAUGAACAUUAUUAUACUCAAAUACCAAGCAUCUUUCAGAAAAUACAAGAGAUGGAGGAAAGGAGAAUAGUCAGAAUUGGAGAAUCAAUGAAAACCUAUGCUGAGGUGGAUCGCCAAGUGAUUCCAAUCAUUGGGAAAUGUCUGGAUGGAAUAGCAAAGGCAGCUGAGUCAAUUGAUCAGAAAAAUGAUUCACAAUUGGUAAUAGAAGCCUACAAAUCAGGGUUUGAGCCUCCUGGAGACAUUGAAUUUGAAGAUUAUACACAGCCAAUGAAACGUACGAUAUCUGAAACUAGUCUUUCGAAUUCCAGAGGGGACAGUAAAACAGAGCUCAAAUUUGGUAGCAAAUCCAAGGGGAAAUUAUGGCCAUUCAUCAAAAAAAAUAAGCUUAUGUCCCUUUUAACAUCUCCCCAUCAGCCCCCCCCUCCUCCCCCUGCCUCUGCCUCACCCUCUGCUGUUCCCAACGGCCCCCAGUCUCCCAAGCAGCAAAAGGAGCCCCUCUCCCAUCGCUUCAACGAGUUCAUGACCUCCAAACCCAAAAUCCACUGCUUCAGGAGUCUAAAACGUGGGCUUUCUCUCAAGCUGGGUGCAGGACCAGAGGACUUCAGCAACCUUCCACCAGAACAAAGAAGAAAAAAGCUGCAGCAGAAAGUUGAUGAAUUAAAUAAAGAAAUCCAAAAGGAGAUGGAUCAAAGAGAUGCCAUAACAAAAAUGAAAGAUGUCUACAUAAAGAAUCCACAAAUGGGAGACCCAGGCAGUUUGGAUCACAAGUUGACAGAAGUUGGGCAAAAUAUUGAAAAACUUCGCCUAGAGGUCCAGAAAUUUGAGGCUUGGCUCACUGAAGUCGAAGGCAGACUCCCAAUCCGAGGGGAACAUCCCCGACGACAGAGUGGGAUGUAUGAAGCACAGAAUACACCCUCAGUCAAUAAUUGUGCACAGGACCGGGAGAGCAGCCCAGAUGGCAGUUACACAGAGGAACAGAGUCAGGAGAAUGAGCUGAAGAUGAUGGCCACAGACUUUGAUGAUGAGUUUGAUGAUGAAGAGCCCCUUCCUACUAUAGGAACCUGUAAAGCACUCUAUACAUUUGAAGGUCAGAAUGAAGGAACUAUUUCAAUAGCUGAAGGAGAAAUAUUAUAUGUCAUAGAAGAGGACAAAGGUGAUGGAUGGACACGGAUUCGUAGAAAUGAAGAUGAAGAAGGUUAUGUUCCUACUUCAUACGUCGAAGUCUAUUUGGACAAAAAUGCCAAAGGUGCUAUGACUUACAUUUAAUACCAUUUAAAUUUUAUUUUUUAGUUGGAGUUUCUCCUCCCCACUGUGACUGUUUCAGGUCAAAUUUCUCUAAAGACUGGAUAAAUUCCUCAGUGUGCAUUUUUUUUCAUAUAGUUACACAGUGGAUGUAUGCAUUGUUCAACUGACUUUUUGUUGAUUAUAUUUGAUAGUAAUAAGUUUUUCUUAUUGAGAUGAAAUGCCCAACAUGGAAAGCUCAGUUAACUGCCAAUAUAUACAAAUGUCCUCAUUUGAGAUACAAGUAAACGUCCUUUAUUUUUGUAGUGUCUAUAGAUAACAAGAAAGUUGCUAUCGAACUUCUAUCAAAACAUUUCAUUGUAAUCAUAUCCACUGAAUCAAGCCCAGUUCUUAGGUAUACCUAAUGAGAUGCACUGAUAUCUGAUAAUUAGGAGAGAUUUUAGAGAUUAUUUGUCCUUUUCACUAGUUCCUAAGAAGACCUAGAUUUUAAAAAAAUUGAACCUGAAAACAUAUGUUCAAGCCUAUACAGUUUAAAAAUUCAGAUUUUUUGUUUGUUAAGAAACAUUAGCAUCCUUUCUGCAUGAGCUAACUUACAAAAUAAAGCUCUUUAUAAAGCCUAUUUGGAAAAUAGAUAUUAGUGCAUUCUUCAUUACUUAACACUAUCAAAAACUAUGUGAAUUAGAAUUUAAAAAAUCAUAGGGUGUUCAUUAGAGCUGGAAGGAUCCUUAAAGAUAACCUGGCCUCAUCCACUCAUUUUAUAAAUGAGGAAACUGUAGGCCCAGAAUGAAUUGACAUUGUCUUUCACUGAAGUCUUUGUUUUUAUUUGUCAUCAGAAUCUUUCCAUUAGUGAGUUAAAUUUACAUAUUUAAUAUACUUCAAGACUGUAUCCAAAAUUGAAAAGUUGUCUUCAUGUUGUCUAGUUUUAGACUAAUUUUCCCCUUUUAUGUUUUUGACUAAACCAAAUCUAUUUAGCCAAAACCAUUACCCCAAAGUUAGAGCACUAUUUUGAAAGCAGAAAAGAAAUGUUUUAGUAAUUUUUAUUUUUCAAAAACUCUUAGACAUUUUUCCAUUAUCUCAUUAUUGCUAUAGUAGCUCAUUUUGAUUAUAAGCAUUUUCAAUUGCAUUAUUAAAAUUUUAAUCAAAUUGAAACAAGCAAAUACAUUGACUCUUAAUCAAAAGGUUUUUGUUUCUUUUUUAAUGUGUCACAAAAGCUUCCCCAUUUUACUUAAUAGCUGUAAGUGCUAACUUUAGGCUUCAGUACAAUUUUGCAUUGAGAAAUCUCUGAGUAAAAGGGAACAUUUUUUCUUUACUCAAAUGUUGAUUUUUUUUUCCCUGUUAAAGUCAACAUAAUAAAUAUUGGAGAAAAAAAAAACAUAGUUGGAUUAAGAACCAGGCCUAGAGAUGGAAGGUCCUGAAUUCAAAUCUGACCUCAGAACUUCCCGGCUGUGUGACCCUGGGCAAGUCACUUCACCCCCCAUUGCCUAGCCCUUACUUCUUUUCUGCCUUAAAACCAUUACAAAGUAUUGAUUCCAAGACAGAAGGUAAAGGGGUUUUUUUUUGUUUGUUUAUUUAAAUAAACAUAAGGUAGACACAACUAUUUUAUGAUUUUAUAAUGCACAACUCUUAAAUCAUUAAUGUCCUGCAUUUUCCACAAACAACUGCACAUAUUGCUUCAGAAAAUAUAUCCAUAGGUUUGCAGAGGGGUUAUCUUUGAUUUCCAUAGCCUGUGACGAUUUUUAUUAAUACCCUGAACAACAGAAUGUAUAUAAGGUUGACCACUCAGUGAGAAUAUUUUGUUAGUUUUCAUUAUUUCAGUGUAUGAAAUAUUUAAAUGAUCUGUUGAAACUCAUCAUCAUGAGGUUUUUGUAUCAUUGUUUUAUAUAACCUGAUUGCAGCUAUUUCUCAUAUUCCAUUAGAUGAUUCUAUAAGAUUCCAUGUUAUGUGCAGAGCCCUAAGAAAAUUUCAAUGUUUUAAACUUCCCUAAAUGAAAGACUUGUUCUUUGAAAGAGAUAUGUCAGGAAUUGCUGUUCUGCCCCAAAUGGGUCUUGCUUUUUUUCCCAUCAGAAAUGCUCUGUGUUGAAAUGUACAAAAAACAAAACAAAACAAAAAACGAUUCUUGUUUAUAAAGUUCUACUUCCUUAAUCCUAGCCAGACUUUCAGAGUUGCUCAUGCUUUCUGUGGGAUCCUUCCCUCCUACCCACUACCUGGUUUAUAAAUCUGUCAUACCUCAACUUGCAGUUCUGUUAAUAACAGGUCUGAGAAAUAACUGCUACUGUCCCAUGUCCACAACCCAGGAGUAGUGAUUUUGUUUUUAUUGAUGCCAGUGCACUUUUUACAGUGUAGCUAAUUAUUUAAUGCUUGCCAAAAUAUUUAGGAUAUAUAGCUAACUUUUGGGCAAUUGGAUUGUGACAUCUUUUUUCCUUUGUGUAAGGGAUUUUUAAAAAAUUGUCUCUGUUAAAUAAGUCAGUAAUUCCACACAGAAAAUAUUUGUAUAUACUGCAAUUUUAAAACUGAAGAGUUACUUGAAUUUGACUUGUUUUUAACUUUUUUAUAUAUAUAAAUGUUUGUUUUAUUGGUUAUUAUUCUGUUGCCUAAUGAUCAUUUUGUUUUUAUAACUGCUGGUAAAGCCACAAGGACUGUUACACUCGUAGCUAGGGUCCCUGCUGGCUGUUCCAGACUUGACUUUAGUAGAGACACUUUGAUACUGAAUUCCUAAAAGUGAUGUGCUGGUGCAAGAUCCUCGGGGUGAGCUUUCACAGGAGGAGAAACAGUCUGCUUGUUUCCAUAGGCCACUCAAUUGGGUCAGGCGCAUUGACUUCUUGAGCUGGUCUGGAAUUAACACUUGAAAUCUUGAUCUGAAAUGACAUCCCCACAUUACUCAGAUGCUUGUUCUUUUCUUACAGCAUGUUCUUUGUGGCUCAGAUUAAAACAUAGCCUUUUUAUCCUUGGUUCUGUUGGGUAGGCUUCCUUUUCAGGGAGCUGAACUGACAGAACUUCUCCUUAGUUUCCAAUGUAAUUCAACAUUCUUAAUUGUGGGAGGUCUUCCCCUUGCAACACAAAACUAGAAACUUCCAGAAAAGUACCCCAUGGCCUUUGAAAUUGUUCCCUAGCUCUCAUUCUGCUUGAAUGUGUGUCCUGGCCCAUCUCAAUUUCACAAUGUGCCUUUUGUGAGAAUUUUAUAGCUAGUCUCCUGAGAAGACUAAGGGGAUCUAGAAUUGGAGAUCCGGACAUACAUUAGCUAGAUGGAGUCUCAGAUUUUUUUAAAAAUGUAUUUAGUACCACAGUAAACAACAAUAAAUACUUCUUCCUUCCCAAAAGGCCAUGUGUAUUCCUUAGGACUUUUUAAUAGCUGACUCCUAUCACACCAAACAUUCACUUUUUCAGGAUCUCGCCUGAUAGUUUCUGACGGCUUACUUUCUUCUCUCCACCCCAACCCCACCUCCUCCUCUUACUCCACCAUAUGUACGUCAUGCAUGCACUUGCAAAUGUUUGAAUUUGCAAUGCCAUCUUCAGUGUCUUCCAAAGAUCCCAUUCUUAAGUCACAUUGCAGUCUGCAUGCUUGCCCUGAAGCCUUGCUUGUACCCACCUUUCCUAAAGUUUGAGGGACUCUGAAGCCCAUCAGUCCUUUAGUAAUCUUACUGUUUGUUAGCGAUAGUUGUUUGGACCUGUGCCUAUUCACAGAUAUUUUGGACAUGAGCACCUCACCGGUGCACUGUCAAUUUGGAACACAAAAACCAUUUGGUUGGCUGUUCUUUCCAGGACCUCAAAUAGAUUCAUCAUCAUUUAUCACAUCAGAUGGCUUUGAAGUGUUUGUCUUAUAGCCAUUCUCGUGCCCUAAGUAAUCCCAUGACCAGAAAAGCAGAAUACAGUAAUAUUAUUUCUAAUCUUUAAUACUAUUUGGUCAAAGUCAAACAAAUAGUUUCCUUUCUGAGAUGGGAUACCUUUACCUUUUGAACCUUAUUAACAUAUUUAGCAUAAACUGAACCAAGACAAGGAUGGUUAGGGUUAAUUCUGAAUUGCUCUGAGUUAGAAUCAAAUUCAGUGCUUUGGUUUAAGAAAGGCAGUCCUAUUUGUUUAGUGAAGCUUCAGUCUGGCUCCUAGUAACUAGGAAGUUUCUUUGUGAAUAUUAUCAGUCCUUCUUUGAGAAUCAAAAAUUAGAAUUUCUCCACAGCUCAGAAGAGACAGGUGCCAGAAGUGUUGUCUCUAAGGGAUGUUCGGGGCUGAGUCUGUUGAUUGUUUCAAUAUGUCAAAAUUAUGGAAAUGAUUCAACUCAGCAGGUGAGAAAAGGCGGGAGAAGGAGCUGGCUGCAUACACCAUGACUUCAAAGGCAAGUCAAAACCAAUCCUCCAGUGGCUAGAAGCCAUUCAGUAAUACUAUCUUUAAGAGGAGGAAGAGGAUAGUAAGAAAAUGAAAGAUGUCCUCCCUCUGAAUUGAGCUCAGAGGCUUGGAAAACCCCACUUGAUUUCUCUGUGUUGCUUAAAUGUUGUUCCAUAGGUAAAACUGUGUUUCUAUGGUUACUUCAAUAAGGAAUUGAUGUAACAGUUGGUCUGAGGAAAUUCUUCAAUGUCCAUCAUGCUUCAAGGAAGAGAAAGAAGUGGCUUGGGUAAAUGAAAUGGAACUUGGAUACAUGUCAGAAAGAAGAGCAACUCUCAUCUCCGAAGUCCUGCAGAAGUAGUAUAAUUGUUGUCCAAAGGGUCAUUCGUUGUCUCUUACACUGUUAUGCUUUUAUGUGACAGUGCCUACUUAGAAGUUGUCACUGCUAAUUAAUUCCAAAUAUCACAAAUAAGAACUAUUGUACACCUCAUCCUCCAACUAAUUAGAAAUUUUGUAUCAUAUGUCAGAACCUUGGAUUGAGGUAAUUCCAUGUGAAUCUAUUCAUGUUCAUUACAAAUAGAUGGAUGAAUUCUUUGCAAAAUAGGAAAUAUUUUUUAAACUUCUAUAACUUAUUCUUAUAAUAUCUAAUGCACUGUUGCACUCCCAUGUCAGCUAUGUCCAAGUAAGAAUAAAAAAAAAUUAAUGUUCCCAGUGGUUUCUCAUAGACAACAAAUUAUUAGCCUUUUAAAAUCAUCAACUUAUUGCAAUGGCAGAUUUGCUACAGUGAUGUUGGAAGAACUUGAGGAUCCCAGUGGGGUUUAGAGGGGGGGGGGGAUAUUUAAUAACAGCAGCGGAAAUGUGAGUUAAUUUAUGAAGUGUUCAAAAUCUUCAAAAAGUUUCUUUCUCUUUUUGUUCAUCACAUCUUAUUUUUAAAAAGAGAAUUCACAUCAAAUGCUGACAAAACAGAGUCAUUUCCCAAAAGGCAAAGUCUAAAAUUGAUCCCUCUUUAGUGUAUGCUGAAGAAAAAAUUGAAAAGGCAUUAACUACUGUGAUGGGACUUGUCUUUGAAUUUUUUCCAACUUCACCUAGUAGCAUGUUGUGGCCCUUAUAGUCUCCAAAGUAAGUGAGAUUUGCCACUGUCCCACCAGCACAGUCACUAAUGCCUUUCUGUAACAUCUGUAAAUAGAGAAUAAAAAACAUUUACUGAAAAAAUAUAAAAGUUGUGUUAACUUUGAGUAUUUUUCCAUACACUGUAUUUUGGGUUUUUGCUUCGUAUUGACUGUCUCUCAUUUGUAUUGUCAGUUUUUAUUUUAAUAAGCCAAGUUCUAUCUUGCCAUGAUGUUAAACACUUUUAAAUUUUCAUGUGCAUGUGUGUGUGUGAGUGUGUGUGUGUGUGUGUGUGUGUGUGAGAGAGAGAGAGAGAGAGAGAGAGAGAGAGAGAGAGAGAGAGAGAGAGAGAGAGAGAGAGAGAGAAUGUGCUUCUAACUGUGUUGUAACUCAUUGCCAUUGGAAAGGUCCUGGCAUUUCCCAUUUGUUUCUGGAGAUGGAAUUUAACCAAAUGAAGUGCUUCCAUUGGAAGGCAAACAUUGUCCUUGUAACUAUGAAAUCAUCUAAGUGAUAAAUAAAAAUGUAACUUCUAGUGUA